UUGUCCUGUUGGUACCAAAUAGUUUUUCGAACCUUAAUAGCCCUUCAAGCCCCUUUUCUGUCAAAACAAACUAAAGACCCCUUAAUGUAGCUAAGUGAGGUACUGUUGAAAAGGUCUAGACAUGUUCUAAAAAUUUUAUUCAAGUCCGCCCUCAAAAUUUCUACUUCUAGAGUCCAGACCCCAAAAUAAGUCCUAAAAACGCAAAAACGAUCAAGUGGGGUACCAUUGAGCUCGGCGUGUUCUAAAUUUUACGUAAGGUGAAGCUCUCAAUAUACAAUAGAGUCUUAUGUUAUGUUAUAGGCAACCUUUUCAAAAAUUCUAUAAGUUUUGUUGGAAAACUUUCUUGAAAGUAAUUUCCAUGAAUUUUACGAGUCCCGGGCAGGGUUUGAAGCAAAAAGUAUCAAACUUGCUACACUUACCUUUCAUGGUGCGUGUGCCGCUUUUAAAACAAAAUGAUAAUUUUUGUAAUUGGCAAUAAAGUUUCCGAACGUAACUUUGCUUCAUCUUCAACUGUUUCCAAGCUAUAGUUGAUGUUCGUGGAAUACAAUUUUUUCAGUUCGAGUUCCACUUCACUUCUCCAACAUAUAUGAUUUUUUCCGGGAACAAAUCUAACCAACCUGUAUUUUUUUUUUUUGAAAUGUUAGAAAAUUGUGAAUUUAUAGCCUCAGUCGCAAACUUUGGAAUGUUAACAAUCUAUGUAUUAGUAGACAAAUAACGUAUAGGAUAUAUUACGCAUAGGUGUAUGUUUUAAUUUUUUUUAAUAGUUUUUUCUGAGAAAAGUUCUGCAAAACUUUUUAAUAAUUUAAAAUUGCAAGUUAUUUGGUUCAUGAAUAAUAAAAAAAAAAUUCACUCUGCUUUCAUUUAAGAUCUCUGAUUUUUCCCUCUAUUCUGUUCCUAUGAACGUCGAGAAUUGGAGACGAAACGUUUGAUGCGUAUUAAAGAUGUGGACGAACAAGGCAUUAUUAAAGAGAUUUUACCAGGAUAAAAGAAUUUAGAGUCGAAGAUUCCCAAGUUCUUAAUAGCAAAAACGUCUGUCAGACCAUCAACAUUAAAAGAAUAAUUUCUCAUAAAUAGACGAAUUCGGUCGAGUACUUACUAUAGCGUAUUUGCUUACGUCUAACUUGAAAUUGUUGAAAGAACACUCUUUCAUAGUCAUUAAGUGAUUUAAGUUAUUCUGAAGUGCUUGGAAAUCAUCUGAUUAAGAAAUCAUUAAAAAAAUUUUUAUGAAAUUCUGUCUCCCAACUUCGAAACCAUAUUAUCUAAUUUAUAAAAUUUUCAGGAAACUCCUUUAAAAUAAAAUAUUUUAAAAUAAUAACUUCGUGAGGAAGAAUAUCGAAAACCUUACUAAAAUCAAUAUAAAUAACAUCGGUCUGACAUCCAGCUUCCAUGUUAUUAGUAAAAAUUGAAGUUCCCUCAACCAGAUUAGUAAUCGUGGAUUUCUUUUUCAGAAAACAGUGUGAAUUUUUUACAACUAAUAAAUAAAUAAAUUCUUUACGUAAACGGAAUCAUGUAACAUCAAUUCAAAAACUUUGGGAAUAUCCGGCAACUUAGCUAUCGGCCUAUAGAUUUUAACUUCAGCUCUAGACUCCCUUUUAUGUAUCGGCCUUAUAAACGCUUCCUUCCAAAGAGAUAACAAAGCAUAGUAUGCAUGAGAAUUUAGAAUAAAUUUGGUUUCGCUUCCGUUUUUGUUACGUCUUUACGGACCUGUAUACAAAAGCUAGGUUAUGUGAUGGCAACAAAUUUUGCAUAUCGAUCAUGGCAGGGAAGUGUAAACAAACUAUUUUUGGUAACCUGUCAGUUAGUCAGUCGGUCUGUCGGUCUGUGUGUACACGUGUGUUCUCAAUCUCAAGUUCGGCUAAACAGAUUUUGAUGAAAUUUUUUAUGUAAGUUUAUUUCGAAUAUGGCACGGAUUGAUAAACUUUUGGGAUAUAUCACGCCUUGGGAACUAGGAUUUUUAGCAGGCCUGUUUUACAUUUUUGAUCAUUAUGAAGCAAAUAUUCAACAGAUUUACUUGAAAUUUCAUAUAUAAGCUUCGUUUGACCGUACGUGGAACUUCCCAACUUUUAAAAGACAUCAGGUGUUAGCAACUGCAUGUUUACUACAUGCCAUAUAUACAUUUUUGCGUAUAUAAAGAGAAAUAAUCAACCGAUUUCUUUGAAAUUUAAUAUUUAAAUUCUUCGUACUAAAACAAUGAACAUCAGGGCUCGAAAACUGCUCUGCGGGCCGAUUUUACAUUUUUCACCAUAUCUAAUAUCUUUAAAUCUUAUCUUUAUCUUUAAAUUUCAUAUUUGAGUUCUGGUUGUUACCGAAUCUAACUGGCGAGCAUUUCAUGGAAUUCGGGUAGCACAAAGGGAAAUUCUACCACGAGCCAUAUUUACAUUUUUCUAGGUAUGUUAACUAUGAGCUUACUGAUGUGUUAAAAAUUGGAAAAAAGUAUUUAACAGACAUUUUUAUAAUGUUCUGUAAUACAUUCACAUAACUAGAAAAUACGCAUUGCUGUCGGUUAUGUGCUGGCCAUAUUAGAGUUUUUUUUUACUGUCUUUGAAUCUGUACAACGUUUUAUUAUGCAAUGAAUCGUUGAAUGACUUCUGUCAACUAAUUUGGAUAUUUUACGAAUCGAUUUCUUUUCCUCAAAAUACUUAAUUAUUAAUGCUCUAACAUCCAUUGCGGUUUGCCCUUUUUUACAACCCAUUUUCAAAUAAAUUUGUCUUUGCACCUUCAAGCACUUUGUUAAAAGGAAAAAUUUUUACACGUAAAAUAAAUUUUACGUGUAAAAAUGGAGCUCCCGUUAAUUGACAAACUUUUACCAAAAAUACGAAAUGUUCGAGCUUUCCUUGACGAUUAUUUUUGCACUUUUUUUGUUUUUAUUAUUUUUUUUAUUAACCAAAUGAAUUCAAAAUUGUUUUUAUAUAUUUUUGUAACUAUAACAAGCAAACUUUAAUUGGGAAUAUUUUUUUUUUGUACUAGUAUUUAAAGGAAAUUUUUUUUCGACUUAUAUCUCAAUUUUUUAUAGGUGUCGGAAUUUGGCUUGACGUGAGUGAAUAUAUGCAUAAUUCAUAUUGAAUUAUAUCAUAUUAUUCAAUAUUACUGAAUUAUAAUUUAUUAGUUAUUGAAUUAUAUGUGUAUCUUCUUAUUUCAACCUAAUUACAUUCAUACAUACUACUACCAGGUAUGUUCAACCAAAAAAAUAAACUACACACAAAUGAUAUAACUCAAGAAUUCAAAUUAGACUUAAAUUCCGAUAAUGAAAUAGCUGACCUAAACUUUGAAAUGUCGUCCGUUUCAUGAGGUGAUAGUUGAAGUUACAUGGGUGCGCAAAUUGAAAAUUCUUUACAACAGCACGACAAUUUUCAAUUAACCGAUACAACUAUAAAAUAUGUGAUAGCGUUAAAACCUAGUUAAAAAAAAAGAAAUAAGAAGAAAAUUCUGGAAAGUCUUACAUUUCUUAAAAGAGAGAAUUAGUACAUUUUUUCCCUUGAGUAACGUAUUUUGUAAAAACGUUUUCAUGGGAAGAAUUACUCAUGAUGAACAGAAAAUUUUAAUUGACAACUACUGGGCGAUGAACUCGUAUGAAAAGAGAUUUUAGUAUAUUUGAGGAAAUACUGAAUUAGCAACAAAAUUAUCACAAAACAAACACCAAGAAAAUACAAUUUGCUCUUACGUUGAAAUAAACGGUAAUAAAAUAAAUGCUUGCAAAAUGUGUUUUACGAAAUGUUUUGAAGAAUCACCAGGAUUUUUGAGAAGUGCAACAAAAAACAAACUUACUUCAAAUUUUACUGAAAGUCGUGGCAAAUUUGUUCCAAAAAACAAACUUGAUAAAAAGUAUAAAAUUAAAGAUUUGUCAAUAGCCAAAAUAUGCCAGCUUUAUUGUUGGAAUGAUACAAACAACAAAAUUAACAAUUCAAGAUAUGCAGAGAUUUUUCAUUCCCAAAACUUAAAAUUUAAGUCGCCAAAAACAGAUAGAUGCCACAAAUAUGAUAUUUUGAAAGCGAAUCUUGACUUCACUGAAAAAAAACAUACCUGAAUACGAAGAACUAAAACAACAACAAACAGAACACAACAUAGAAGCUUCUCUAGCUUGUAAAACUAAAGAAAUAGAUAAAAAUUAAUCAAAAUAAAAUAUGAAUAUGAAAAUAAUAUAUGUAUUUAAUUUGCAACCGUGCCUUCCAACACAUUAUCUUAAUGCAAACAUUCAUAUUAUAAAAGAAAACUUUUUAAAAUAUAAUUUAACUAUACAUAAUUGCGAAACAAACGAAGCUUUUAACCAUAUGGCAUGAGGCAGAAGGUUAUGUGGCAAGAGGGCUGACGAAAUUUGCUUUUGUUUAAUUUUUAAAUUAAGUUAUUUAGCUGCAACCAUUAAAAUAGACGCAUUGAUUUUGUAUGGUGAUUCCUGCGCCGGGCAAAAUAAAAAUUCUUCCAGGGCAUAUUCGUAUGGAAAGUGAUGUAGAUCAGGCAAUAAUUGAACGAAGAAAGAUACUAUAACAAAUUUCGAUCUAAGUAUAACAGAUGAUGAUGUUUUUCUGGAUGAAAACGGAGAUGAAAAUUAGAAAUAUGAUCAUAGUAUCAUUUGCUUAUAUUGUUAAGAUAAUGAACUUAUUUUUAUUAAUGCAUGUGAAAUUACAAUUUAAUUUUAUAUAAAGUAUAUUAUGUUUUUUAAAUUAAUUCAUUAAACAUGUUUUUAAGUUCUUUAAAUAAAAUUAAGCAUUUGGAA